GAAGUGGCUGCCACCAUCUUGGGGGCUCUGGGAGCAAGGACCCCUGUAACACUUUCAUCCUUGAAUGAGAAAAUAUCUGGUCCAGCAUGGUAUUGUAACAUAAACAUGAAGAGGAAGAGGCAUGAGAGAUGAGCACAAUGAAAAAAGACCAAGCAGGGACACAGUGCGAAGGUGGCAUCUGCACGCCAAGCACAGGGACCUCAGAAGAAACUGAGCCAGUCAGCACCACACCUUCGUCUUUGACCUCCAGCCUCCAGAACUAAGGAUAGAGCUCCUCAUCUCUGUUAGAAAUGACCAUCAAAAAGAUACAUCAAUUCAUUAGAAUCAAAAGGACAUGAGUUAUCAGAAUUCUUUCUCCUGAAAGAAAGUGGAGAUCAAAGGUAAAACUUCUAGAGAAUGAGAUGAAGGCAGAUGAAAGAAGUUAACAAAACAUUACACGACUUGAUAAUAUUGCAUGUAUACAAAAACCUUAUGAAAUCAACUGUGUCCUAGUGACCACUUGUUUUUCUUUUUGUCAUAAUACUUUUUUUCUCUUGCAAUGAUAUUGAUUCAUCUGCACCGGACAUCAACUCUGCAUUUGUAGAAGGUGUUAAGAAUACAGGGAAAUGGAAUAAGUGGCUUUGCCUGUAAUCCCGCAGCAGCAGAAAUGUCCAUGUCCUCUCUCCUGAAAAAUACCACAUUCUCCACUGGGUUCCACAAGUUUCGAGGUAAGAGCAUGAACAUACACAAAGUCACCAUCACUACCCUCACCACCACCACCAUUAUUUCCACCAUAUUCACCCUUUUAAUAUGCAAACUUUCUCCAAGGCUUCCUGAAGUCACCCAGAAAUGCGUUUCCCCAAGAGUGAGUUGUGCUAACUUUGUAUCCUAUGGAACUCUGGGAAGCUACUCGGAUCCUCAACUCUUGGAGUCUUGCUGACUGCAUGUUCCAGGCUCCACAUUUAAGCUCCAGUGAUUGCUGAUGACCGCAUGACCUAACGCAUGUCCUCAAUCGUUUCUUGGCCUCAGUUUCUUCACCAAUGAAUUCUGGAGACUGGAGUUGGCAAUAUUUCAGGUUCUUUCCAACUGGAAAUACCCAUCUAAUAAUUUUAGUAAGGCAAUAUCCAUAGAAACCUACUGACAAAAUGAGUAUUUUAACAGAGACAGUCGUAGUUUCUUAAUUUUUACCAGAAGGGAAUGCAUAUGUAUAAUAUCUAUGUUGCCUUUUAUGUGUAAAAAUAAAUACACAGACAC